UACGUAGGGUGCGAGCGUUAAUCGGAAUUACUGGGCGUAAAGCGUGCGCAGGCGGUUCUCCAAGUCCGUUGUGAAAGCCCCGGGCUCAACCUGGGAAUGGCAGUGGAAACUAGGGGACUGGAAUCUGGCAGAGGGGGGUGGAAUGCCGCGUGUAGCGGUGGAAUGCGUAGAGAUCCGGAAGAACACCGGUGGCGAAGGCGGCCUGCUGGGCAGUGGCUGACGCUGAGGCGCGACAGCGUGGGGAGCAAACAGG
rnacentral:rRNA from 1 species